CCUACGGGUGGCAGCAGUGAGGAAUAUUGGUCAAUGGACGAGAGUCUGACCCAGCCAAGUAGCGUGAAGGAUGACUGCCCUCUGGGUUGUAAACUUCUUUUAUAAAGGAAUAAAACGAGGCACGUGUGCCUUUUUGCAUGUACUUUAUGAAUAAGGAUCGGCUAACUCCGUGCCAGCAGCCGCGGUAAUACGGAGGAUCCGAGCGUUAUCCGGAUUUAUUGGGUUUAAAGGGAGCGUAGGUGGAUUGUUAAGUCAGUUGUGAAAGUUUGCGGCUCAACCGUAAAAUUGCAGUUGAAACUGGCAGUCUUGAGUACAGUAGAGGUGGGCGGAAUUCGUGGUGUAGCGGUGAAAUGCUUAGAUAUCACGAAGAACUCCGAUUGUGAAGGCAGUUCACUGGACUGCAACUGACACUGAGGCUCGAAAGUGUGGGUAUCAAACAGGAUUAGAUACCCCAGUAGUC
rnacentral:rRNA from 1 species